rnacentral:rRNA from 1 species
CAGCCGCCGCGGGAAUACGAAGGGUGCAAGCGUUACUCGGAAUUACUGGGCGUAAAGCGUGCGUAGGUGGUGGUUUAAGUCCGUUGUGAAAGCCCUGGGCUCAACCUGGGAACUGCAUUUGAAACUGGCAAGCUAGAGUAUGGCAGAGGGGGGUGGAAUUCCGCGUGUAGCAGUGAAAUGCGUAGAUAUGCGGAGGAACACCGAUGGCGAAGGCAGCCCCCUGGGCCAAUACUGACGCUCAUGCACGGAAGCGUGGGGAGCAAACAGGAUUAGAUACCCCGGUAGUCCCUGUCUCUUAUAC